AUCUCCUUAUCAUACACAAACAAGAGUGUCUAAUUGUAGUAGACUCAACUUAAAUUGCGAUACAGUAUAAUGACCCGCAGUGUUGUAGCGCGAGUAGUGUGAAGCGUGUGGGCGAUGAAUUGAUUCAAACAGUAUUCAUGAAAUUGUAUCAAUUUCAAAUACCCACAUAGAUAAUUAUCAACAAAACGCUGUAUAAAUAAACAAUGCAAUAUUAUUUUUAUUACAAAUUGACGCAAUAUAGAUGUUGUUGUUUUAUAAUGUUUAGCUUAGUAGAAAAUUUAUUUGUAAAUAUUCGUUUGUAUUAGAUCUCGAUUGCUUCUCACGAAAUUAGUGUUAGUUUUUAUGAAUAUAUAUUAAAAGCAUUUAUCGAAGCAAAGCUGCAGAAUUUUCCAAAUAUUUAUUUAGCUCAGAUACAUAAUGUAAAUUAAACGAAACUUAGGAAUAUUGAAUUUUAUUGAAAGGUAUAUAGUACAUAGGCUUUAAGCCUAACUUAAAUAUGUGCAGAUAUAUUUGUUUCAAGUCUGCACAUUUAUAUAUAAUUGUAUGUGUGCACGGUAUAUAGCUGCGCACUAGGGCCAUGUGGCUACUGAUGUGCUUGUUGCGGAAAGUUUCCAAAAAAUCGAAAUUUCGAAAAUUAUUUUGUAAAUUUCACAAUUUUGUAAACUUCUCUUCGGCACAUCAGUACAUGUGACUGAACACAGGACUUACAUGUAGGAUACGUUUUAACUCUGUGUGUAUUGGUGUUCAAUAUACUAUAGGCUUGGUCCCCUCCCCACCCGACCAAAUGUCCAAAUUAAUAUAACUACUCGUUCACGCUUUUCACUAAAGUCUAUCCUAUAUAUCUGUUUUAAAUUGUUAUUACUAAAUUAUAUGACGCUGUAAAGCUAUAUCAUAGUAUAUGGAAGUUUAGGAUCUGCGUUGCAAUAUAUCAAAGUAUAUUUUUAAUGUGAUAUACAAGUCACCUGCCUAUAUGUAGGUAUAAAGAAUAGAGUUUGCUAAGACUUGGACACGAAACAUAUCAAAUAAAUGUGACUUAAUGUUAACUUAUUGAACAUAUCUUAACUUUAGUAUAGAGGAUACAUAUCAGUAAUUGUAAGUAGCUAUAGGUUCGUUGUUGUUCUUCGGCCGCGCUUUCUAACUAGAAUAGUCGAAUUUGUUCAAAUGUAUACCAUACAUAUCAGAUAUAAAAUGCUUAUUAAGAUAUUUUAUUUCAAAUUAUAUCCUGUUUAAAAAAUAUGAUUAUAAUUUAAGUCAAAUAUUUAUUUUUAAGCUAGAAUAUACAAAAAAAUAUUUACAUAUAUUUGAAACAUACUUAUUUACCUUAUAAUUUAAAUGUUUUGAAAUUGUAUCCUUAUUAGUGAUGACUUAUAUAAUUGUCAAGAAUAUUUGAAGACAUAACUCCGGCUAUAUCCUACCGAGUGUUUUAAACCUGGCCAUUUCUUAGUCUUUCGAUUUAGGAUAUAUACAAUUUUAAUUAAAAAUAUCCUAAGAAUCAAUAAAUACUUUCAAAUAUACUCAGCAUCAAGUCCUUGAAAGGUUAAAUUUUCGUUGAAUGGUUAUUCAACCUGACUUAACCAUAACUACAUUUAUGUGAUGACACUUUUGGUUUUGUGGUCAAAAAUCGCUUGCAGUGAUCUAGAAAAUAAUUGGAUAAACCUCAGUUAUUUUUGAAAUGAAAAAGUAAGGCAUUACAGGUCAGUGUUGUCACAUCCUCGUAUUAAAUCAACAUAAUGGCUAUCAUUAUAAUUUAUGACAGCUAGAAAAAAAGAAGCUGACUUGACUUGUCAGUAGAGAUAGACCAAGAAAAGUCUGCAGCGAUUUUGAUAGCACACGGAGUCCAAGUGUUAUUUUAAACGUCAAUCUAUGAAAUUAUGACGUAAUUAACAACACUUGCACUGCGUAACUAAGCUAUCAAAAUCGCUGCAGACUUUUCUUGAUCUAACUCUAAGAACUCUGUUGUGUUUGUCGAUAUUAAAUAAUUGAAGUUAAAUCUAACGAAUUCAAACUUUGUAAUCAAAUCUUAUAAAUCGAUAUUUUUUAUUCAUCCAUUUUCAGUGGUUGAAUUGACCGACGUAGUAGCCUAAAAAGCUUGUGUUAUUUUUUACAAAGCAGUAUUGUUUUUAUUAUAUUUAUGAUACCUACUUUAUAUUUUAUUCCUUAUCAAGUAUUAUGCGAAAAAAAAAUGUGUAACAAAAAUAAAUAUUUAUAUCGUUCUCUAUUUAUAAAUAAUUAUAUGACUGACCUCAACAUAUCAAGAAAUUGAAGUUAUUGAAAAAUAUAUACUUAUGAAUGUAAAUUAUGUUGGCGCGUUUAGGUUAGGAAGCGACCGGUCCACUGUUAGAUUGUAGAUAUACUAUUGACUUAUUCCUAGUUCUUGUUGAAUAUUGAAACUGUGAAAUGUGUACCGUUGUGGAUCGCCGAUAGGCGCAAUAAACAUAGUAUGUCGAGA